rnacentral:rRNA from 1 species
AGCGAACGCUGGCGGCAGGCUUAACACAUGCAAGUCGAGCGGACCUUUCGGGGUCAGCGGCGGACGGGUGAGUAACGCGUGGGAACGUGCCUUCCGGUUCGGAAUAACCCUGGGAAACUAGGGCUAAUACCGGAUACGCCCUUAUGGGGAAAGGUUUACUGCCGGAAGAUCGGCCCGCGUCUGAUUAGCUAGUUGGUGGGGUAACGGCCUACCAAGGCGACGAUCAGUAGCUGGUCUGAGAGGAUGAUCAGCCACACUGGGACUGAGACACGGCCCAGACUCCUACGGGAGGCAGAAGUGGGGAAUAUUGGACAAUGGGCGCAAGCCUGAUCCAGCCAUGCCGCGUGAGUGAUGAAGGCCUUAGGGUUGUAAAGCUCUUUUAUCCGGGACGAUAAUGACGGUACCGGAGGAAUAAGCCCCGGCUAACUUCG